rnacentral:sRNA from 1 species
GGGAAAGGGGAAGGGGAGAGAAAGAGCAAACCCGUUCAGGCAAGCAUACGUGGAUCCCUUAGUCAGAUAUCUGUUGUUGUCUAUAGUAACAAAACUAAUGUUCUAAUUAUACAAAUACCCACAACAGGCUAGAGCAAUGACGGCAUCUAUGAGCACUGGUUGUUUUUCCAGAGAACCGGGAUUUGAUUCCCAGCACCUACUUGGAAGCUCACAUCUCAAAUUUCAAGAUACUUGAUGCCGAAUCAUGGCUUUCACAGGCCCCAGGCAUAAACAUGGUAAAUGGAGAUGUAUGCAAGGAAAACAUCCGUACACAUAAAAGGAAAUUUAAAGUUAGUUGUCCAAGAAUUUCAUAUCAGCCAGCAAUGCUGGUUUGUCCUCUCACAGUGCGCAAGCUCCGUGCGAAGAUCUGAGGAUGGGAGGCGCCCUAGCGGACUCCGUAGCAGCAACCGCUGCCUAGUGAGGCCCGGUUAGUGAGGCUCCAUGCUUUAUUGGAUGGAGGUUUUCCUCAGCUAAUUUCAUUCUGUGCCCACACUCUGUCAUCCACUUAGCAUUCCUGGAGAAGCCAGCACAGCUCCUAUCGGGGGACUCCGUAUGACAACUCACACCCCGGCUAACAGCUAAGAAACCUCAAGCUCUUCCUCCAUCCGGAAACAUGGCUUCAUCCUGCUGUCCUUGAGGAUUUCAGCCUGUUCCUUUUGCUCUGUUAGCUGGCCAACAUCCAUGGAGCCAAUUCCAAAUACGGAAUCUCUACUAUGAGAAGCAUCUGGCUUACGCCCGGUUCUUGGUGCCGUGUCGGUGUGGGCAUCGACAAAUGGAGGUUCCACCAAGAUCAGAGAAGAGAAGAUUUCUGAAGGCUGGCCAGUGAGGAAGCAGGGACAUAUUGGGGCAGUUUUCAAAUGAAGCCAAAGAGUGAUGGACGAAUUGCCCACGUUUCCCUUGACAGCAGCACGAAAGGCAUCGGUGUUGGGAUGGGCAUUUGGAGGAUCUGGGUAUGAAGCCAUUGAGUUCCAGAGUUUACAGGACAGAUUGAUGAGGUUUAAUGGUUCCGCUUGUGUGCCUCCUUCUUCAGGGUCCUUUGUCAGGUAAGCCUUUGUGAUUUCCUGGAAUUCUGAUAAGCUUAAACAUCACUAUUUCUUCAUUUAUCGUCUCCCUCCCUGUCCCACUCCUUUCUAAAUUAGCCAUUCAGAAGGGGAGUGAGGCUCAGCCAUAAGGAACAUGCAAAGUCCCCCUGCGUUAGGGAUAAAAGGCAAAAGAUGAUGUCUAGAGUACGCGUGCUACGCGUGGCCCCGAUCGAGUGUGCUUACACCCUUCGUGUGCAAAGAAAUGGCCUGGCUGAGUUACUCUUACUUUUACCAUGUGUUCCUCUGUGCAAUACCAAAAUUAUUCUUUCCCAGCCCACAGGCAUACAACACACACACACACACACACACACACACACACACACACACACACACACGCUGCAUGCUGUUUUUUUUCUUCAAAAGGAAGACUGGAGUCCCUGUCUCCUUUCAUGAGCCUCCUCCUGAUCUUGGUGACACAGCCUUAGUAAGUACUAUUUUCCCAGGCCCCAUCAUGCUGGCUCUCCUUGGGAGUAUUUUUUCUUCCUGGAAUGCCUGGAAUUACUGGAAUGCUAUUUACCCACAAACUGCCUUCAACUAGUCAUUUCCUACCUAUUCAGCAACUGUCCUGGCUUGCUUCCCCUGCUCUGAGACACACUCUGACUAAAAGCAAUUUGGGAGGAAAGGGUGUGGGUUUGGGGGUGAGGGGUUUGCUUAGGCAUCUGUCACUAUCAGAUGCCAAGACAGGACUGUCCUUAACUGUACUGCUCCUCUUGGCUCAUUCAGCUUCAUUCUUACCCAACCCUGGCCACCUGUUCAGGAGUACCAGCUGCAGUGAGUUGGACUUUCCCUUAUCACUGAUUAAUCAAGUGAAUGCUCCAAAGAAGUGCCCCCAGAUCAGUUCUCAGUGGACGUUCUCUUCGACCUGGUGACUCUUGUUUUGUGAAGUUGACCCAAAUCAACCAGCACAGUGGCUCACCUAUGGAGUUUUCAGGCUUCCUUAACUGGACAAGAGAAUUGGCUUCACUGCCUUUCUCCAUAAUUAUCUGUUAUUCUUUGGCUUCAGACUCUGCAACAAGGGACUGAGAGAACUAACUUACCAGAUGGUGCGGAACCCGGGAGGAGUUGGGUCCCCAGUCUGAUGGCUCCAGUCUUUCCUGCCUGUCCAGGGACCACUUCUCUGCCCCUAUCAGUCUGGAGACAUCAUUUCUUCGGACUCUAGCCAUGCAGUCAUCACCUCCUCACUGGGAUUCUGGAUCUUUGCCAACUCUUGAUCAGCAUGACAUCCUCAGGACCAGCUUGACUCCGACUGCUGCAAUAUCCACAAUUAAAAAGGACCAGCCCCUACUGCUGCUGAGGCCAGGACCUGUGCCAUCAUCUGUGAAUAUACUGCUUCCACAGCAACAAAUUCUAACUGGGUUAAAACAGGGUCAAAAGAGACAAGACAGGCAAAAGUCUCUUGUGAUUCUCUCAGGCUCUGGCCCCUCCCUGGCUCACUCCUUUCUCCUUUAUUGUUCUCAUAUUUAUGUUGUUACCUUGUCUUUAAAUAUUUUACCUACCGAACUUCCCCCACCUUGCCCUACAACAGCUCCAUUUAUUCCUGAUGCAUCUGCACAAAGACCUUCUAUAUGCCAUAGAGAUACUUUGACUAAAGGGAUCUUCUUCCCUUUCAGUCCAGGCCAGAAGCAAUUCCUUACAUCAGUCCUCUAUUUUCUCCAGCUCCCUGCCUUUGCUGCUCUGUGCUCCCUGCUACUUCUGCUGGCUCAGUUUCUGUGAAGUGUGUUGGCGAUGGGAACAGUCGCUGUCACCUUGAAUCAACUCAGUGCCCACUUCCUGUCACUUUCCCUCUCCAUUUCUUCCAAUCCCUCAGUUUCACCAGGAAGUCUUUCAGUUUCACUCCAAAGAUGAGACAUCUGCUUAUGACCCUCUAAUAAGCAUUUCCCAUGUCUCCUCAGGAAUACAAGACAGCAGUCACCUGAUCCACUGCGCCUCAUCAAGUUAAGACUCUGCCUUUCUGGUAAAGACCCUCUUCAACAGAAAACAGCUAUAACACCCCUGCCUCACACUUGUAUAUCCUGUCAGAGUUAGGAAGUAUAACUUCUUGCUGAAAGACUACACUUGCCUUGCUGACUAUGAAGUCAUUUCCACCCCAGUAAGAGGCCACACCCCAUCUUCUUCUGUAGGAACCUUGGCCAUCUGCACAGAUUGAGUGGCUAAUCUGCUUCCCUGCCUGAAUGAAUGUGAUCCCACCUAAGGGCAGACCCAGCCUCUCUUCCUUCCACCUCCCAUCUCUCCACAGCUGCCUUUAGUAACCUAACAAUCACAAGAAAGAACCCUGUGUUUGUGAGUGCAUCUUUGGCCCAUGCGUCUCUGCUCUUCCCCCACCUGUAGGUCUAGUAGAGCUCGAUGUUCCAGGCUUUUCAGGUUGCGAGGCAUUCUUAGUGAGUACUAAAUGCCCAUAAGCUAAAGAAGUAUGUCUGACACUCUAGUGUGGUUUUUCCUGGGUUUUUUUUUUUUCCUUCCCCAGUUCCAGAAAUUAAUGCAGGCCUGUGUGUGCUGGUCUGCCUCCUAGUCUGAAUGAGUCUGUUUAAUUUCUUUUCCUAUAGUUAUUUCUUUUACUGCCUAUGGAGGAGUGGUUUGCCUCUGUGUAUGCCUUCGUGCACCAUGCAUGUGCAGGGCCCAUGAAAAGGAAGGAAUUGGAUCCCCAGAACAGAGUUACAGAUUGCUGUAAACCACCACGUGGGUCCUGAGAAUCAAACACUGGUCCUCUGCACAAGCUGUUAAGUGUUCUGAGCUGCUGAGGCAGCUCUCCAGCACCUAAGUGGGUUUUUAUUUUUUCUUUAACUCCCUCUUCAUGGAUGGUGAUAGAGUGCCUCACCCGUGAAACAGGAUUUCUGCAAGGUGACAGACAAUCUCACUCCUCCUUGCCUGGCUGUCCUAGAAAGAAGUAUCUGUUGGAAUGUCCUGUCUCACCCUGGGUGAGCAAGCACGGGAGAGAGACCACAGGGGAACUUGGUGCAACUCUUCCAGACCUCAUCCCAUCCCAUAAAGGGUUACGGCCAUCUUUUUUUGUCUCUGGGAGACCAUUCAAUUUCCCUCAAGAGAGAUUCUGCCUCUUGCCCUGUAUCUCUUGAAGGUCCCUUGUCUCUUUUAUGCAUCCUGUCCCUUUAAGCAGCCGUAGUUCUCUAAGAGGUAGAAUUGCUGCUUUUCAUGGCACAGUAGAGAUUGUUUUCGUCUCGAAGAGGGUGUUGACUGAACUGAUCAGUAGAAUCAGACGUUUCUAGCUGCCAAUAUGUCCAUUUUCUUCUAUUUAUUUUAGUAAAGGGCCAAGCUCUUACGUGUUCUUUCAACCUGUACAGAGCAAGAUUAAAACAGAGGGCAAAAAGAGAGGCUGGUAUGAGUUUGAGCACAGUGGAGUCUGUCUUAGCAUUUGCUUUUUGAAGUGGUGUGUGUGUGUGUGUGUGUGUGUGUGUGUGUGUGUGUGUCAUGUGCACAAGUGCCAUGUGCAUGAACCCCGAGAAGGAGGAAGAAGUGCUGGAGUUCCAGGCAGUUGUGAGCUACCUGUGUGGGUGCUGAGAAUCUAGGUCUCCCGCUAAAGCAGAAAGUGCUCCUAACCACUGUGCCACACCAUCUCUCCAGCACCCCUCCCCCUUCUUGGAUUUUGGUGAGUUUAACUUGGGAAGCUAGAGCUUCUGAAAGCUACCUACGCAACCCUGAGCUGGAGGUUUCCAGUGUUCAUCAUCUCACAUUCAAGAAGCGUGGAAAAGCAAGGAAGAGGAGCAGGCAGACAGGUGUAGUGUUAGAAUAUGGAGAAUGUGAGAAAAGGCUGAGGCUGGGGGAGAGCUCUGAGGAAGGAGCCAUGCCUGCUGGGCUUGUACGGAGGGUGAGGUAAUUGCACAGAGGCUGAGGUAAUUGCACAGAGGCUAUUUUAGAGCUGGUUCACUUCUGAGUGUACCAUGGUCCAAACCAGUAUGAGUCUCAGACCAACUCAAGAGUUUCUGUGCCCUUUCAGGAAAGGGGCUACAUUUCUGGUUCAUGAUCCACCAUGGGCCCACCCUUACUCUUAAAGAGAGUUCUCUCCUGUCUCAAGGCUUUGUAUAAAAAUCCUUAAAGAGGCUUUAUUGACCGGCUACCUGGCUCUUUGCCUCAUUUUCUAACUUCUACUCAAAAGAAGGCAGAUGUGAUGCUUCAAGCCGCGGCGGCCAUAUUGGACUACAAGGCCCUCUUUAACAACAUACCUAAGAACUAAAAACAGAACGACAACGGAAGCUGGGAACCCUGGGUCCUGAAGGGACACACACAGCCUGUCCUGCUCUGGUUACUCCAGACAGUUUCUGUAAGAAACAGAUGAGAACAAUCAUUUAGGUUGCUGGUGUCAGACCGGUGUCCAACAUCCAGAAAAUUCCUAACUGAGGAGACCAUUCAUCAUAGAAAUAAAUGCAGCUCCUCCCACUGUGCAACUUCCUGAGGAAGAAAUAGAUGGAUCCAAGGAAGCAAAAAAAAUCACCAGGAAUGAUCAACGCAACUGCAUCCCCAGAGCAAGCGUCUUAGGAACUGGGUAGUUACUCAUCUGUAGCUUUUCCACAUUCUUCGAGACGAAAGACGUUUCGUAUGGCUGCUUUGAAGUAACUUAGCAUUAGCCAGAUAACUAUUUUUAAACACGGGUGUGCAUGUAUAUGCAUGUCGGAGUGUAUGUCCAGGUGCGCAUGCCCACAUGCAUGCAGCAUGUGUUUGGAGCAGAGGACCUUAGGGGCCAUCCCUCAGAAAUGCAGUCCACCUCCUUUCGAGGCAGCUUCUCGAACUGGUCUGGAGCUCACCAGCUGGGCUACACUGCUGGCCAGCAGCCCCGGGAUGCUCCCUCUCUGCCUCCAAGACUGAGGUUGUAUGUUGCCAUGGUCUCUGGCAUUUCUACGGAGACCCUGGAGAUUGAGCUCAGGCCCCAUGCUCAUGUGGCAAGCAGUUUACCAUCUGUCAUCUCCCUGUGACUUUUACUUUUGAACUCUAUGGCUUAUAUCAUGAAGUUUGCAACUCUGUGUACGUGAACUCAGCUCAGUGAAAGGUAAACAAGUAAAAGACAAUAGUAAAGGAGCAUGGUGCGUGCCGGGUGGGGACUGUGUAUAUAAUUUUUGUGACCCUUACAACAGUUCUAUGAGGUUGACAUUGGGUUCGCUGCCAAUAAGGAAAUUAGGGGAAGUGGGGUUACCAGGAAGGUAAGUAACUCUCCUCGGGUCUCUCAGACACCAACAAGAUUGGAUUAAAUCUGUCUGCUUCCUCAUGCUGUGCUAUGACCCUUGACCUCACUGUGCUUCGAAGGCAGUGACACUUCCCUGGGUCUACUAAGAAGUAAAUGACAUCCUCCAUGAGAUGUAUCAUGAGAAACUGUUUGUGGGUGACUUUUAUUCCACAAAUGGUACACAGAAGUCCGUGCUCCCAAUGGGAAUGUGGCUGUACUUGGAAACAAGAACUUUGUGGUUAUAAUUAGUCUAGAGGAGGCCAUGUUAGAGCAGGGAGAGCUCUAGUCAGUAACUACUGUCCAUCAUAAGGGAACUCUGGAUGCAGAGGCACAUAAGGGGGAGCAGCACAUGAGUGAGUGUGGAGAGAGGUUGGCAAGCAUCUACAAGCCACAGAAUGCACCAGAUGACAUGUGGCCACCAGGGGCUGAAAGUAACUAGGAAGGACAGUCCCCACAAGCCCCUGGAAUCAGAAGAGCCCUGCUUAUUCCUUGGUGUUAGAUUUCUGGCCUUCAUAAGUGCAUAAAACAAAACAAAAUUGCUGUGCCAACAAAGGGUCUGUAUUUGUGGCCAUGUGCCACAGUCCUGGGAAACUGAGAGGAAAGUGAGUCGCUGGGUUUCAGUAGUCACGUAUUGGCUGAGUAUAACACUGUGCCAUAUUCUAUCGUAAGAAUGGGAUACUGGCCAGAGGGACCGGUAAGCUGCCCAGUACCUGCUCCUGCCUGUUCCAGAAAUGCCCCGAGAAGAUGAGAGGGACUAAGGCUGGCGGCUGGAGUGUGGGAGGAAGAGUCAGUGUGGUGGACAGCCAGAAGCAGACAGCUGAGCUGGGCCAGGAAACAAAACGGUUCCUGCACAGAGAUGCAGAUGCCCCCAUCACUGAACUGGGAAGAGCUCAAGAGUUUCCUCCCCAGUUGCCCUCAACAGACUGAGGAAGGUAAACCAACUUGGUCUCGUGUCUGGGUUCUGAGCGUCUGCUGCAUUUGGACCAACUCAAACCUUCUGAGUAGAGAUUGGCUCUAGUCUCUGAUUUUGUACAAGGCCAAGGGUCUUGUUAAUGAGUUUAUUAAAAGUCCAGUCAGCUGAAGCAAAUGCUUAAAAUCAUGGGGGAGACAAUUACUCAAACAGUACACCAUGAAAAGUGUGAAGUCAUUAGCAACAGAGAUAAGGCCAAAUGAACGUUCUUCUUAAGAUGAAACUAGGCUGAGGAAAAGGGCAGAAUGGCGUCUCGGCUCCAGUGCCUUCUCCUUGUUUGGCUUGUCUCACAGUUUGAGCAACUUCAUUAAGGUUCAACCUCUAUCCUUACAGUGUCAGUCACUGUGGGAGAUAAAAACAAAACCAGUUCAUUCCCGUUGGGGACUUUGUAAAUCUGUGAUCAACACUAUGGGAAUAGUUCUUUUGUCUUUUUAAUACCAGACCCUUCCCUUUCCAGUGGAACGCUCUCAAACAACUGGAAUUUAGCUAACCAGUGCCCAGUCCCCUGCUAUUUUGCUCUGUGUGUACAGGUGCUUGUGUGUG